UACGUAGGGACCGAGCGUUGUCCGGAUUCAUUGGGCGUAAAGAGCUCGUAGGCGGCUGUUCAAGUCGAACGUGAAAACUCGGGGCUCAACUCCGAGCCUGCGUUCGAUACUGGACGGCUAGAGUCUGGUAGGGGGAUCUGGAAUUCCUGGUGUAGCGGUGGAAUGCGCAGAUAUCGGGAGGAACACCAAUUGCGAAGGCAGCUCGCUGGGACGUUACUGACGCUGAGACGCGAAAGCGUGGGGAGCAAACAGG
rnacentral:rRNA from 1 species